UCCCUGGUGGUCCAGUGAUUAGGACUCUGUGCUUCUACUGCAAGAGGCCUGGGUUUGAUCCCUGGACAGGGAA
rnacentral:tRNA from 1 species